rnacentral:rRNA from 1 species
UACGUAGGUGGCAAGCGUUACUCGGAAUUACUAGGCGUAAAGCGCAGGUAGGCGGUUUGACAAGUCCGUAAUGAAAUCUCCCGGCUUAACUGGGAGGGGUUUAGGGAUACUGUCAGGCUCGAGUGUGGUAGAGGUAACUGGAAUUCCCGGUGUAGCGGUGAAAUGCGUAGAGAUCGGGAGGAACACCUAUGGCGAAAGCAGGUUACUGGGCCAAUACUGACGCUGAGCUGCGAAAGCUAGGGGAGCAAACAGG